AACGAACGCUGGCGGCAGGCCUAACACAUGCAAGUCGAGCGAGGACUUCGGUCCUAGCGGCGGACGGGUGAGUAACGCGUGGGAACGUGCCCUUUGCUACGGAAUAGCCCCGGGAAACUGGGAGUAAUACCGUAUGUGCCCUUCGGGGGAAAGAUUUAUCGGCAAAGGAUCGGCCCGCGUUGGAUUAGGUAGUUGGUGGGGUAAUGGCCUACCAAGCCGACGAUCCAUAGCUGGUUUGAGAGGAUGAUCAGCCACACUGGGACUGAGACACGGCCCAGACUCCUACGGGAGGCAGCAGUGGGGAAUCUUAGACAAUGGGGGAAACCUUGAUCUAGCCAUGCCGCGUGAGCGAUGAAGGCCUUAGGGUUGUAAAGCUCUUUCGGUGGGGAAGAUAAUGACGGUACCACAUGAAUAAGGACCGGCUAACUACGUGCCAGCCGCCGCCGUAAGAC
rnacentral:rRNA from 1 species